GGAAUAAAUAAAGAACACAUUCUAGAGCCUCUUUGUGACAGUGUUUCGCUAAAGAGAUACAGAUCAGUUGGCCGCAGAACAUCUCUUUAUGCGAAGCUCCACAAACUCGAGAAUUCAAUGGUGCUUCCCGGAGUUAAAUGUCUUGAGGAUUGGCGCAAGCUUUCUGUUCAUUGGGCCAAUGAUGAUAGUGUUCAAGAGGCUCUUCAUGUUCGAAAGGGAACCAUUGAAAAUUGGACACGAUGCAGGGGAGACUUAUCUUUCACAUACAAUGUCUACAAUGUUGUACCAUAUCACGCCAAUCUUAGCGCCAAAGGUUAUAGGUCACUUAUAUACAGUGGUGAUCAU
rnacentral:misc_RNA from 1 species